GCCAUUUCCUGGAAGCUCUUGUUGCCACAGCCACAUGAACACAAACCUCCACCCAGCGCUGACCAAGAGCCAGGCCCUACCCCAGGACCUCACAGAUGUCACUUUAGUGAUCCUUUCAGCAACCUAAUGAGGUAGGACUAUCAUUAUUCCCUCUUCACAGAUGGGGAAACUGAGGCACGGGGCUGUAAAGUGACUUGCCCAAGGCCCCACUGGCAGUCAAUGGCAGAGCCAGGUACCCUCCCAGAGAUGCUCACGCCCUAAUCCUCAGGAUCUGCAAACAUGUCACCUUUCACGACAAAAGGACUUUGCAAAUACGCUGAAACAUCUUAAGAUGGCAAAAUUCUCCCAGGUCGUCUCAGUGGGUCCAAGGCUAUCGUGAUGAGAUCCCGGCUACCAUGCUUGGCAGGAAGACCACAAAAGGACAGGAGGCUCUCAGUGUGUCAUAGCAGGAGUGACCUUCCAAAGGUAACCUUCUUCCCAUGGAAAACAGAGGCGCAAAGAGGUGAGCUGAUGCGUGCGGGGUCCCCCAGCAGAGCCAGGACUCCAGCUCAGGCUCUCAGAACAAGGGCCAGGCGUAGUGGCUCACGCCAGUAAUGCUGGCUGA